rnacentral:tRNA from 1 species
AGAAAUAUGUCUGACAGAAGAUUUACUUGGAUAGCAUAAAUAAGAGAGGUUUAAAUCCUCUUAUUUCUA